GACUCGAUAGCUCAAUGGGUAGAGCGGCGGUAUAGAUACCCGAAGGUGCGAGUUCAAAUCCUGCUCGAGUCA